UAAAAGCCAUGGUCAUGUAAUGGGGU
rnacentral:piRNA from 1 species